GGACUACUGCUGGAAGCUGCAGUUAAUACUCGAUAAGACCACAGCAUCUUCGGAUGCAGCGGUCAAAGGUGGGGACCUUCGGGCCUACCGGCAUUAGAGCGAGCCAUGUCCUAUCAGCUUGUUGGUGAGGUAACGGCUCACCAAGGCGACGACGGGUACCGGGACUGAGAUGUUGACCCGGCGCGGUCUGGACUGAGACACUGCCCGGAGUCCUGCGGGAGGCUGCAGUAACGAAUAUUCCGCAAUGGGCGAAAGCCUGACGGAGCGACGCCGCGUGUGGGAGGAAGGCCUUCGGGGUGUAAACCACUGUCAGGGAUUACCAAGCAAAGUUGGCGAAUAGCCUUCUGCGUUGAGGCGUCCCAGAGGAAGCCACGGCUAACUUCGUGCCAGCAGCCGCGGUAAUACGAAGGUGGCGAGCGUUGUUCGGAAUCACUGGGCUUAAAGGGCACGCAGGCGGACUGUCAAGCGUCUUGUGAAAGCCCCCGGAGUUACCGGGGAAUUGCUGGGCGAACUGGCAGUCUUGAGGCAGGUAAGGGCGAGUGGAACUCUUGGUGGAGCGGUGGAAUGCGUAGAUUUAAAGAGGAACGCCGGAGGCG
rnacentral:rRNA from 1 species